AAAUUGAAGAGUUUGAUCAUGGCUCAGAUUGAACGCUGGCGGCAGGCCUAACACAUGCAAGUCGAACGGUAACAGAAAGAAGCUUGCUUCUUUGCUGACGAGUGGCGGACGGGUGAGUAAUGUCUGGGAA
rnacentral:rRNA from 1 species